UCUUAGAUGGUUUGGAGGAUCUUAAGGGUGAGUGAUGGCAGAAUUCAAAUUGUUUUGGGGGAAUUAUGAAAUUAAUUAGAAAAUAUGUAAGGGAUAAUCAACGGCUAGCUGUGCAUUAAACGAUUUGAAUGCACGACGUGGAGGCGAAGAACCACCCAACGCGCAGCGGAGUGCAUUCAGAUCGUUUAAUGCACAGCUAGCCGUUGAUUAUCCCGUUUAUGUCAUGGUCAUUUACCAGCAUUCACAUAUUAAAGAUGUUAAUAAUAUUUGUGCUGCAAUAUUUGACCGGAACGAUAAAAAUGACGGUUAUUUUCGUCUGUAUUACUAUUCACGUUACUAUGGUUACCAAUGUUUAUAGGAAGCGCAUUAAUAUAGAACGUGAUUAAACUGACCUGGAACUACCUGCAGUUCAACGAAUUUAAUCAACACCUGCCAGCCAAUCAGAAUCCAGUAUUCAGACAGACCAUGGCAUAAAGCGGUAUGUUCUUAUUGUUACCAGCUUCUGCGUCUGGCUUCAGAACCUCACUGUGACUUCAGGUAAGAUUUGUAUUUAAUUAACGUUAUUUGUCUGUACCAAUCAUGUUUCUGACACAUGCAUUGGCAGAAAAAAAUAAAAUAAAAUUAGUUAACAUCAACAUUCUUUUAUUUGCAACAUGAAGUAUAUUUAUUUCUGAUUUCCUGAACAAUUUGGCUUCAUUGUAAUGAGGUUAAUGAUCUUUAUAAAACCAUGAUUAUGAACAUACAAUUACUUUGUCUUGAGCUGAUUACCCAACUGCGGUAGUGUUGGUUGAUUGGUGUCUAUAUUUGUUCAAGCUUGACAACCUUAUGACUUUAUUUUCUAAUAUAUAUAUUUCUCAUUACAGAUAAGAACAAAGAUUAAAUUGUAAGAAGGGUUGCUUAUAAAAGCAUACGGUACAUCUGAAACUGCUGAGGCUGGGAAGGUUUUUGACUAUAUUUCCGACCAGAUCAGCUGCUAUAGAAGACAAACUGAAAUCUAAAUGCAGAGACAAGCAAAGGAAUACUGCAAGACACUACUGACUAGGCUGUGCCCAGGUCUCCGGAACCUGCGAGGACGCUCAGCUCCAUUGGCCCUUAGUCUGCGGCUUCGGAUCCACCAGCUCUGUCUCCAUCGGUCGGCCCCCAGAUGUCGGCAGCCACACCAUCUACAUCUUGGCUCCUCCCUCCCUCGACUCCGCCGUGUGUUGUCAGCACUGGGAUGCUCUGGGUCUGUGCCAUGUGCCAAACACCAUCUAAGCCGCCAGGGCAUCAUCGUCAUCCUCUCAUCACCAUCCCUACACCACCUCCUCGUCCACCUCCAAAACCCCUCCAUCCCUCCCUAUUCUGUUGCUUGAACUUUAUCAUCUUCAGUCUUUGCACACACAUCUAUUCACUUUACAUGUUUUUUUUUCUUCAGAAAAUUGCAUUGUAAUUUUUAUUUAUUCAUUGAUGUAAAAUUCUUUACUUUUCAGUAAUACAGGUAUAACUGAAAUGUUCUACAAAUGGAUAAGAUGGC